UCGGGAAUAUUGCGCAAUGGAGGAAACUCUGACGCAGUGACGCCGCGUAUAGGAAGAAGGUUUUCGGAUUGUAAACUAUUUUAGUCAGGGAAGAAAAAGACGGUACCUGAAGAAUAAGCUCCGGCUAAUUACGUGCC
rnacentral:rRNA from 1 species